UACGAAGGGGGCUAGCGUUGCUCGGAAUUACUGGGCGUAAAGCGCACGUAGGCGGCUUUCUAAGUCGGGGGUGAAAUCCUGGAGCUCAACUCCAGAACUGCCUUCGAUACUGGAAAGCUCGAGUCCGGGAGGGGUGAGUGGAACUGCGAGUGUAGAGGUGAAAUUCGUAGAUAUUCGCAAGAACACCAGUGGCGAAGGCGGCUCACUGGCCCGGUACUGACGCUGAGGUGCGAAAGCGUGGGGAGCAAACAGG
rnacentral:rRNA from 1 species